rnacentral:rRNA from 1 species
UAGGGAAUCUUCCGCAAUGGACGCAAGUCUGACGGAGCAACGCCGCGUGAGUGAAGAAGGAUUUCGGUUCGUAAAGCUCUGUUGUUAAGGAAGAACGAGUGUGAGAAUGGAAAGUUCAUACUGUGACGGUACUUAACCAGAAAGGGACGGCUAACUACGUGCCAGCAGCCGCGGUAAUACGUAGGUCCCGAGCGUUGUCCGGAUUUAUUGGGCGUAAAGCGAGCGCAGGCGGUUAGAUAAGUCUGAAGUUAAAGGCAGUGGCUCAACCAUUGUAGGCUUUGGAAACUGUUUAACUUGAGUGCAGAAGGGGAGAGUGGAAUUCCAUGUGUAACGGUGAAAUGCGUAGAUAUAUGGAGGAACACCGGUGGCGAAAGCGGCUCUCUGGUCUGUAACUGACGCUGAGGCUCGAAAGCGUGGGGAGCGAACAGG